GAUUCGGCCGCUGAAUCGGGCCAAAUCUCCUUCAAAUUAAAUCAGCACCUGAAGCUUUGCACAGCCCUACUGGACACCUCCUUAUUAGGAUGGGAGGCCCUUAUGGGUGACUUCUAGGUGUAGGAGGUCUCGGUUCUGUAGGAGAUGAAACUCCGUAUUAAAGUGCUAGGGUUGAGAGUGAUGUGGAGAACAUGUUUUCUACACUACAUAGAUGGGUGUCAUGUGCAGGUUCUAACAGACAACACCGCAGCAAUAUUCUAUAUCAAUAAACAGGGUGGGGUGACGUCCUCCUCUUUAUGCAGGGAGGUAGGUUGCAUAUGGCAGUGGUGCAUAUGUCACCAAAUAUACUUCUCAACGGUACACUUCAUUGAUACCUGGAAAAUCAAAGAAAACUGAGCAAAUCCAUAGUCCUACACCAUGAGUAAGAGGUCCAAGAUUCUGUUCUCCAGUCAACAUUUGCAGACUGGGGUUGGGUGAAGAUGUCCAACACAAACAAGUCUGUCAGUGAGAAGUGCCAGUUCUGCUCCAGGAAUUGUCCAUGUCUGGACUGUACCCAAUGCCUGUCUUAUUCUGUGGUCAGGAAUCCUCCCUUAUGCCUUCAUAUCCAUGCUUCUGAUUUCACUGGCUGUUCCUCAGUGUGUGAGACAGGAUGUGGCCUUUGAGAAUCAUUCUGGCUCCUGUACAGUUAAGAUCUUGGUACCAGUGCCUUCUGCUGACAUUAAUGAGAGUCUAGGGUUCUUUCUUGGGGCCUAGACCAUGUGAUCCAGGACAGAAGGGAAGUACUUGAUCCAGCUCUGACUACUUCCAUUUCAUAACCUGGGUGCUUGAUGGCUCUUGGAAAUAGUGGGACUUCUUAGCCCCAGUAAGGGACAUCCUUUUGCACAGCAGAAAGGACUUGAGUAGACACUUUUCUGGCUAAGUGAUUGAGAUACUCAGGAUGGUGCCAGGAAAGAAACCCCCCGUCUAGAUAUUCCUCUAGUUUGGCUAUGCUGGAAUAUCUGCUAAAUCUUAAAUGUUGUAGACUAGUACAUCAGCUCCAUUCUCCAGCCAAAAGCAGACAUACUUUACUUUCCCACAGUCCUGCAGUUCCUUAAAUGAAUGACCAAAGUUUUUCCUCUGGAAAGACAGCAUGUCCCUCAUUGGGGCACAAAUUUGGUUCUCUCACCUCUGCUGAGUUCUCUCAGUAUUUGAAUCUACGGUAACACACUCCUUGCUCCACCUUUCUAUGAAACCAGCUUUUCCAGUGGCCAUUUUUGCAGUUAGGAGACUGGGUGAGACCAAGGUCCUUCAUAUACUGCCUUCUGAGCAGAUAAAAUAUUUUUGAAGACUUACCCUAGUUGUUACCCAAGAUGAUUGCUGACUUCUGCCUGAGUCAGCAGAUGUAUUUGCUGGUAUUCUUACUACAACCUCACUCCUCCAGGUCUGAGGUGUUGUUUCACACACUCGAUGGGCAAGAAGUUUUGUCUUGUACUUGCAUGGGAUUAGGCUUUUCUAAAAGCCUCUGGCUAUUGUUUCUUCCACCCAGAGACCCAAAGGGACACACAUCAGCUGGGUAUUAAACUGUCACAAGAACUCCAAGGCAGAAGCUUCUCUAGGCAGAGCACAUUGCAGCAGAGCCUACAACUGAUAUCAGCAGGGAAGCUGCCACGUGCUCCAUACAAACCUUCACCAAGAAUUACACAAUUGCAGUAGCCCCAGGGCAGAUACUGCGUUUGAUCCUUUGGCUGAUGUUUACCUAGGGAACUCUGAGGCCCACCUUCAGGUAUGUGAUCACACACCAUCCUUUAUCCCUUCAGCCUGGAACGCAAGAAGGGGAGGAUUGUGGUGUGCCUGUAGAUACUGACAGGGCUGUAAGUCUUCUAUGUCAAGUGCUGAGGUGCACAUGUACCCAUGAUGAGAAUGUGGACAAGACAUCUUGAAGAACUCUGGUUACUGGUAAGUAACUUCCCGUUCCUCUGCAAGGUGAAAGUUCAUUAGUUCAAAGCAGGAGGAGAAAGAUCUGGAUAUGUUAAUUGAUCACAGGAUAACUAUCAACCACCAAAACAAUGUGGCUGUUAAAAAGGCAGAUGUGAUUUUUAGAAUGUACUGGGUAAAGUAUGCCCAGAAAAAAGAGGGAUAUAUUAACAAUAUUGUACAAAGUCAUGGUAAGAUUUUAUCUAGAAUCCUGGAUGCAGUUCUCAUCUCCAGUGGUAAGCAUCAUUAUUCCCACUUUACAGACAGGAAAACUGAGUCACACAGAGAGGAAAUGAUUUCCCCAAAGUGAUCUGAUGAGCCAGUAUAUAAUACCUCGGUGUUCAGUGCCCAAUUCUUAACCUUGCAUUUUAGCCUUGUGGUAAGUGCCAAAAGCUUCCUGACAGUGAUCUUACCUAGAACAUAGAGGAUCUCCCAUCUAGAUGGGGUCCUAAGGUGUAGUAAAUAUUUGGUUACACAAACUGUUCGCUGGAAUCACUUCACCUAACCUGGCACCUCCUAUGGCACCUAAAACAAUGGGGUCCCAAUUCUUCAUUGGCUCAUAGGCACUACCAUAAAAACUAUAUGAAUAUGAAUAACAAUUGCAGAGACCAUGUGGAUGAACACAGCAGGUGGGCUCACUGCUUCUCAACAAAGUUCUCAGCGCUGUACAUGCACAACUGAGCUUGAGUGACAGAUUUUGGUCUCCUGAAUGGCUAGUCCAAACUGUUGUUUUAAGUAGGCCUCCUGGCUAAGUUUGAAAGAAU